rnacentral:rRNA from 1 species
UACAGAGGGUGCAAGCGUUGCUCGGAAUCAUUGGGCGUAAAGGGCGUGUAGGCGGCCGCGUAUGUCCCAUGUGAAAGCCCUCGGCUCAACCGGGGACUAGCAUGGGAAACGCGUGGUGUGAGUCCGGAAGGGGGGGGGCGGAAUUCCCGAAGUGUAGCGGUGAAAUGCGUAGAUAUUGGGAGGAACACCAGUGGCGAAGGCGGAGUCCCCUGGGUCCGGAACUGACGCUGAGGCGACGAAAGCGGUGGGUAGCAAACGGG